rnacentral:rRNA from 1 species
AAUUAUUAAAUGUUAAAUCAUUAAAUUAAAAAGAUUUGGCGGUAUUUUAAAUUAUUAGAGGAACUUGUGUAAUAAUUGAUAUUCCCCGAUAAGAUAUACUUAAUUUAUAAAUUUAUGUAUUGCUGUUUUAAGAUUAUUAUUAAAUAAUUUUUUAAAUUUUUAAAUUUAAUUUAAUUCAAGUCAAAAUAUAGUUUAUUUAAGAUUAAUAUGAGUUACAUUUUUUUUUAUAUUUGAUAAUUAAAUUUUAAAUUAAUUUUGAGAUUGGAUUUAAUAGUAAAUUUAAUAAAUUAAUUAUUUUGAAAAAAAAAUAAAAUAAGU